rnacentral:rRNA from 1 species
AGUGAACGCUGGCGGUAGGCCUAACACAUGCAAGUCGAACGGCAGCACAGUAAGAGCUUGCUCUUACGGGUGGCGAGUGGCGGACGGGUUAGGAAUACAUCGGAAUCUACUUUUUCGUGGGGGAUAACGUAGGGCAACUUACGCUAAUACCGCAUACGACCUACGGGUGAAAGCAGGGGAUCUUCUUACCUUGCGCGAUUGAAUGAGCCGAUGUCGGAUUAUCUAGUUGGCGGGGUAAAGGCCCACCAAGGCGACGAUCCGUAGCUGGUCUGAGAGGAUGAUCAGGCACACGGGAACUGAGACACGGUCCAGACUCCUGAGGGAGGCAGAAGUGGGGAAUAUGGGACAAGGGGCGAAAGCCUGAUCCAGCAAUACCGCGUGAGUGAAGAAGGCCUUCGGGUUGUAAAGGCCUUUUGUUGGGUAAGAAAAGCAGAAGGUUAAUACCCCGCUGUUCUGACGGUAGCCAAAGAAUAAGCACCGGCUAACUUCGUG